AGGUUGGGGUUUGAACAUGCAUCAUCGACGCAGAUCUUCUUCCAAGUAAAGCUUUAGAAGUAAUGCCUUCCGUCAUUUCUUAUGGAAGCACUACCCUCUGGAGAUGUAACUUUUACAGCCACUUUGGAUUUAAAC